AGAACGCGGCUCCCGCGACCCCUGGCGGCGGCUGCCGAGGGGCUGCGGGACGACCUUGGGCGGCAGCUAGCAGCGAGUCCUAGCUGAUGUGGCCCUGAGUCAGCUUUUAGAGGUCCCAAGACUCGUUCACAGGCCGCUAAACGCAAACUAAGGCACCUCCCAGCACACCAGGAUCGACGUGUCCUCCUUCAGUCCGGACUCGGCGGAAUCUGCACCUGGGAGCCCCUCCCCAAAUGACCUGCUAGCCGCAGUCCAGGAAGCAGGCACCCCUCACUCCCCUUCUCAAAUGGGGGCUCUAUUCCUGUCUCUAGCUCUGGAGUUGUUGUGAGGAUAAAGGGAGAACCUGGCACACAGUAGGCACUCAACAAACCGUUCCUCUGUCUGUCUUGAGAGACUGCGGUGGGCCCUGCAGGGCAGCUGCCUGCCUCUGCCUGGUUCGAGGAAGGCCCAGCCAGGCCGGCCCCAGCUUCCUUCCUGCUCUUCUGUCCCACUCCGACCCACUCCGGAGAGCCACGCUCUGAGCCGCACAUGACUCUCUCCUUCUCCACAGAACAAUCUGUGUUCUGCUCCCGCCCCCGAGAGAGUUCUGAGCUUUCCAAAUAUGGAUGCUUUUUGCAUUCCCAAAGCAUCACGAACAUUUGGGAGAAGAAAAUGAACACCAGACAUGGUUUGGAAACGAUGGAAGCCAAGGGAUGGGUGGUGACGGAACAAGCACCGUACUAGGAGUUUUAAAAUAUAAAACACGAGUCUGGCCUAGGUGAUGUCUUACAACCUUACUAGCUUUGUAGCAGUCUAGGCCCCAAAGAGAUCCUAGAAGUAAGCACCCAAACCCUAAGAAUAAAAACUACAGCGGCCACCACCACACA